rnacentral:rRNA from 1 species
GACGAACGCUGGCGGCGUGCUUAACACAUGCAAGUCGAACGGAAAGGCCCUGCUUUUGUGGGGUGCUCGAGUGGCGAACGGGUGAGUAACACGUGAGUAACCUGCCCUUGACUUUGGGAUAACUUCAGGAAACUGGGGCUAAUACCGGAUAGGAGCUCCUGCUGCAUGGUGGGGGUUGGAAAGUUUCGGCGGUUGGGGAUGGACUCGCGGCUUAUCAGCUUGUUGGUGGGGUAGUGGCUUACCAAGGCUUUGACGGGUAGCCGGCCUGAGAGGGUGACCGGCCACAUUGGGACUGAGAUACGGCCCAGACUCCUACGGGAGGCAGCAGUGGUGAAUAUUGAACAAUGGGCGGAAGCCUGAUGCAGCAACGCCGCGUGCGGGAUGACGGCCUUCGGGUUGUAAACCGCUUUCGCCUGUGACGAAGCGUGAGUGACGGUAAUGGGUAAAGAAGCACCGGCUAACUACGUG